CUUGGAGGAGCCAACUUCAUGGUCAGGAGCCGAGCAGGGACAAGGCUGGGCCACUCGGAAGCACCUGAGGACUGAUCAAGAGGAGGGAGGGCCGUGACCACCCAUCUGCCUGAGCCACACCUCACCUGCUGGUCCAGGGGCCCCGUAGCUGAGCCGAGACCCCAGGCCUGACUCGGCCCCGCCCUGGAGAACUGACUCAGGGAGCUCCCAGGAUGGCCGUCCCGCCGCGCAGCCUGAGCGUGAUGGAAGAGACUCGGAACAUGACAACGAACGAAUGCUUCCAAUCCCGGAGCACCGUCCUGCAGGGGCAGCCCUUUGGGGGCAUCCCCACCGUGCUAUUCAUCAACAUCUUCUUGUG